UACAACAAAAGAUUAAAUCAGAUGUAAUUUGGCGUGGGUAUGUUAAAAAUCUGGAAAAUCAAUAAAUAUCGCACACACACCCACACCCAUAUUUUUAACAGAUCGACACUAAAUUACAUCUGAUUUAAUCUUUUGUUUUA